AUAAAAAAGUUUUCUAAUCCAAUCAUGAGUGUUUUUUAUUUACCUCCUACAAGGAGUUGUUUUUAUAAAUUUUGGAUUUUUACAGCAUCUUGGCAAUGCUACACAAACUGUUAGCCAACCAACAAGAGAGCGGUCAAGCGAGCGCGUUAGCAACGUUAAGGUAUAAAAUGAAUUUAAAAAUAAAACAUUGAUUAUCUUUGCUACGGAAUUUUUUUUUUAAACUUCUUAUAUUUUUUUUAAUUUUCAGUACUCAAAUUUCAUUGUCAACGACACUUCAUAAAAUUUGUCGACUUAUUAUUUCAAUAUAUUUUUCGACGUUGCUUACUACUUAACGUGCUUAAAAACACCAUUAAAUCAAAUUAUUUUUAGGCAAAAUCAGUCGUUUUAAUGUUUAUUCUCUAAUUAGUCAGUUCAUUUUCUGACUUAUACUGAAAUUAGUUAAAUCAUUUGCACUCCAGAGGCGGCGUUGGACAUACAUAAAUUAUAACACUUUUAUACAACAAUCGAAUUUAACCUAUAUUAAUAUUCAGCCUCGACAAAUAAUCGAGCUCGCUCAUCCAUUGGACCAAAUAAUAGUAAAACUUGUGAGUUAGAAGCUUGAGAAUUUAACCGUGGUAAGGCAUGGCUGUCGCAAGAGGCGACUAAAAUCCGAGAGUUAAUGCGAUAGUCGAGAACGACUGUUACUACCGCAAUAUUUCUCAAAAAUCAAUUCCGGGAAUCUUUUGUGUUUGAGAACAACAACAACAACAAAUAGCAGACACUGCAUUCUCUUACAUUUUAGUAUGGAUUUUGGUUAAAACGCUGCAUUGGACUUUACAAAAAACCGCUAUG